AUUGAACGCUGGCGGCAUGCUUUACACAUGCAAGUCGAGCGCCCCGCAAGGGGAGCGGCAGACGGGAGAGUAACACGUGGGAACGUACCCUUCAGUUCGGAACAACCAAGGGAAACUUUGGCUAAUACCGAAUACGUCCGUAAGGAGAAAGAUUUAUCGCUGAAGGAUCGGCCCGCGUCUGAUUAGCUAGUUGGUGGGGUAACGGCCCACCAAGGCGACGAUCAGUAGCUGGUCUGAGAGGAUGAUCAGCCUCACUGGGACUGAGACACGGCCCAGACUCCUACGGGAGGCAGCAGUGGGGAAUAUUGGACAAUGGGCGCAAGCCUGAUCCAGCCAUGCCGCGUGGAUGAUGAAGGCCCUAGGGUUGUAAAGUCCUUUCGGCGGGGAAGAUAAUGACGGUACCCGCAGAAGAAGCCCCGGCUAACUUCGUGCCAGCCGCCGCGGUAA
rnacentral:rRNA from 1 species